UGCUAAGCGUAUACGGGCGCACGACGGAUGCCUUGGCAUCAGGAGGCUAUGAAGGACGCGGAAGACUGCGAUAAGCGUCGGGGAGCUGUCAACAAGCUUUGAUCCGGCGAUUUCCGAAUGGGGCAACCCGGCUACCUUCAUCGGUAGUCAUUCAAGGAUGAAUCAAAUAGUCCUUGAAAGUCACACCAGGGGAAGUGAAACAUCUCAGUACCCUGAGGAAGAGAAAUCAAACGAGAUUGCGUAAGUAGUGGCGAGCGAAAGCGCAAUAGCCCAAACCAGAGAGCUUGCUUUCUGGGGUUGCGGGAC
rnacentral:rRNA from 1 species